GGGUAACCUGCCCAUAAGACUGGGAUAACUCCGGGAAACCGGGGCUAAUACCGGAUAACAUUUUGAACCGCAUGGUUCGAAAUUGAAAGGCGGCUUCGGCUGUCACUUAUGGAUGGACCCGCGUCGCAUUAGCUAGUUGGUGAGGUAACGGCUCACCAAGGCAACGAUGCGUAGCCGACCUGAGAGGGUGAUCGGCCACACUGGGACUGAGACACGGCCCAGACUCCUACGGGAGGCAGCAGUAGGGAAUCUUCCGCAAUGGACGAAAGUCUGACGGAGCAACGCCGCGUGAGUGAUGAAGGCUUUCGGGUCGUAAAACUCUGUUGUUAGGGAAGAACAAGUGCUAGUUGAAUAAGCUGGCACCUUGACGGUACCUAACCAGAAAGCCACGGCUAACUACGUGCCAGCAGCCGCGGUAAUACGUAGGUGGCAAGCGUUAUCCGGAAUUAUUGGGCGUAAAGCGCGCGCAGGUGGUUUCUUAAGUCUGAUGUGAAAGCCCACGGCUCAACCGUGGAGGGUCAUUGGAAACUGGGAGACUUGAGUGCAGAAGAGGAAAGUGGAAUUCCAUGUGUAGCGGUGAAAUGCGUAGAGAUAUGGAGGAACACCAGUGGCGAAGGCGACUUU
rnacentral:rRNA from 1 species